rnacentral:rRNA from 1 species
AACGAACGCUGGCGGCAUGCCUAACACAUGCAAGUCGAACGAGACCUUCGGGUCUAGUGGCGCACGGGUGCGUAACGCGUGGGAACCUGCCCUUAGGUUCGGAAUAACUCCCCGAAAGGGGUGCUAAUACCGGAUAAUGUCUUCGGACCAAAGAUUUAUCGCCUUUGGAUGGGCCCGCGUUGGAUUAGCUAGUUGGUAGGGUAAAAGCCUACCAAGGCGACGAUCCAUAGCUGGUCUGAGAGGCUGAUUAGCCACACUGGGACUGAGACACGGCCCAGACUACUACGGGAGGCAGCAGUGGGGGAUACUGGAAAAUGGGGGAAAGCCUGAAGCAGCAAUGCCGCGUGAGUGAUGAAGGCCGUAGGGUUGUAAAGCUCUUUUACCCGGGAUGAUAAUGACAGUACCGGGAGAAUAAGCUCCGGCUAACUCCGUG